AUGAACUGGGCAUACCCGCUGAUGAUGUACCGGUCGAUGAGUUCACUCCUCUCGGUCGCAUUCUGUACAAAGCUCCCUCGGAUGGAAAGUGGGGAGAGCAUGAGCUUGAUUAUCUGCUCUUCAUCGUCCACGAUGUUAAACUGCAUCCAAACCCUGACGAAGUUGCUGAUGUGAAGUAUGUGAACCGGGGUGAAUUGAAAGAACUGCUGAGGAAGGCUGAUGCUGGCGAGGAUGGGGUAAAACUAUCACCCUGGUUCAGGCUGGUUGUGGAUAACUUCCUGCUAAAAUGGUGGGACCAUGUCGAGACUGGCACUCUCCUGGAGGUUGCUGACAUGAAAACCAUCCAUAAGCUGUGACAUGAAAGCUACUGCUUGUGUUACUUCUGUCUUUGGAGGAUUUAAAUGGAUGAAUUAGGGGUAUGUUUGCUCUUAGAGGAAACUGAUUAGCGGAUUCUGGUAUGAUCCAUUUGGUUGUGAUGCCUAGUUACCAUGGUUUUAUGGUUG
rnacentral:misc_RNA from 1 species